UCCGCCUUCAAAGGCUUUGGCGCCAAGUUGCUGCUGCUCGGCGUGGUUGGAAGAUGCGGGGCCGGGAGCCUUUGGGAAAAGGGGCGAGCUGUCGGGCGGCCACCCCAAGGAGUGCGUGGCCAGGGUGUGGAGGGAGGCCGCUCGUCCUCCUCUGAAUGGGGUGCCUUCCCUGUGGCCUCCCUUCCCGAGGACCCCGUGGUGAAGGAGGGUGUGGCCGAAGCGCCUGUUCCCGUGGUGUGUGUGUGUGCGGAAAGCCGGUGCCAUCUUCCUUCCCGGGAGCUGGGCAUGAGCCCCCAUCGUGCUGUGUGUCCCGGGCCCAGUGAGCAGGACUGCGGUGUCCUGAGGAGUCCCUUGGCUUGCAGUGAAGGAGUGGGGUGUGCGCGGUGAAGGGAGAUGCGGCAGCUAGGCCUGCAGCGGGGAGGGCCAUGGCGCCGAGAUCCAGGCCUUGAGCCUCCACGCGGCUCGGAAGGUGCUGGAGCAGCUGCUCUGCGCACCCCGGAUCUGAGGCCGACGGAGUGGACGCAGCCAGAGGAGGCUGUGAAGGCCUGUGCCCGUGGUCUGCAGUGACAUGGGGACGCCCGGCAGGGGUUGCGGGGAGACGGCCACUUGUGCUGGAGGCUGGAAGGAGCGCGGAGCGGAUCAGAUGGGCUCACCUGCGGCCUUGUGCUUCGCUGUAGAGUUCUUGAUGGCUCCUCCUAGAACCAGGGAAGACAGCUGUCUGCAGUCCGGAGCGCGUGUCUUCAGCGAGACCUGCCUCUGCUGCUGUCCCGAUGACAGCGUGCCAGUCUCCAGAACUGUGAGAAACAAAUUCCUGUUGUUUAUCAAGCACUCAGUUUAUGAUAAUUUGCCAUACAAGCCUAAGCCAAGAGGCCUCAAAUGCAGUGACAGGUUAUUCGCCAUUGCUGCCUAAAGCAGGUUCUGCAAAGAGGAACAGAUCUCUAACCUUUGCAGGCUGCCCAGUCCCCCGCCUGGCCAGUUUGCUGUACCCCGUGUUCUGGGCAUAGAAGUGAAGAGGCUAUCUCAGAAUUCCAAGUCCCGUGGUUUUUGAGAUCCGAACCCUCACUAGAAUAUUCUCCAUGGAAAUCCAGGAUUACUCUGUGCUGGUUAGCACCCAGCUGUGGUCAGCCUGGGCAGAGGCCUGGCGCGCAUGUGGGAUUACUGAAAUGAAAGCUCCAGGGCCUCCCUGGCAGGCCUUGCAUACUGCGGCAGGUAGCGCCCCUGGCUGUGUGCGUUCACAGCAAGCACGUAGCCCACUGUGCUACACAGAAUCUGCUUCUGGUCCGAGGACUCCCUAAGCGGCUAGAAGGAGGGUCAUCCUGUGUUCCAGUGCUAAAUCCCAUGCCGCCACAAAGAUUCAGGCUGUCCUCCUGUGUGUGAUUUGACAAGAAUUUUAUUCAGCACUAAUAACAAAGUGUUGCAUUUUGCUCAUUACAUGUUACUUGGUGGAAUUAUCGGUAUUUGAGAUGUGGAAAUUCAGCCCACCAGGUAAACAUGAGAAUUUACAACAGUAGAAUUUGAGAGAGAUUACUGCAAAUGUAAUUUCUCUCUAUAUGCUAUCUAAUAGCUUAGGACUUUCAAGUCAGUCAUCUCAAGUCUGGCGUAUGGAAUCUUCAAAGACGGUCUUUUUUUAAAUUUAUUUUUAUUGGAAAGU